rnacentral:rRNA from 1 species
CCUACGGGUGGCAGCAGUGGGGAAUAUUGGGCAAUGGGCGCAAGUCUGACCCAGCAACGCCGCGUGAAGGAAGAAGGCUUUCGGGUUGUAAACUUCCUUUCUCAGGGACGAAGCAAGUGAUGGUACCUGAGGAAUAAGACACGGCUAACUACGUGCCAGCAGCCGCGGCAAUACGUAGGUGGCAAGCGUUAUCCGGAUUUACUGGGUGUACAGGGCGUGUAGGCGGGAAAGCAAGUCAGAUGUGAAAACCAUGGGCUCAACCUGUGGCCUGCAUUUGAAACUGUGUUUCUUGAGUACUGGGGAGGCAGACGGAAUGCCUAGUGUAGCGGUGAAAUGCGUAGAUAUGAGGAGGAACCCCAGUGGCGAAGGCGGUCUGCUGGACAGCAACUGACGCUGAGGCGCGAAAGCGUGGGGAGCGAACAGGAUUAGAUACCCUUGUAGUC